rnacentral:rRNA from 1 species
AGUGAACGCUGGCGGUAGGCCUAACACAUGCAAGUCGAACGGCAGCACAGUAAGAGCUUGCUCUUACGGGUGGCGAGUGGCGGACGGGUGAGGAAUACAUCGGAAUCUACUUUUUCGUGGGGGAUAACGUAGGGAAACUUACGCUAAUACCGCAUACGACCUACGGGUGAAAGCAGGGGAUCUUCGGACCUUGCGCGAUUGAAUGAGCCGAUGUCGGAUUAGCUAGUUGGCGGGGUAAAGGCCCACCAAGGCGACGAUCCGUAGCUGGUCUGAGAGGCUGAUCAGCCACACUGGAACUGAGACACGGUCCAGACUCCUACGGGAGGCAGCAGUGGGGAAUAUUGGACAAUGGGCGCAAGCCUGAUCCAGCCAUACCGCGUGGGUGAAGAAGGCCUUCGGGUUGUAAAGCCCUUUUGUUGGGAAAGAAAAGCAGCAGGUUAAUACCCUGCUGUUCUGACGGUACCCAAAGAAUAAGCACCGGCUAACUUCGUG